UGGCCAACGGUGGUACAUGGAGACCAUAGGUUUGCAACCGCCCAUCAUCUUUGUCCUCGGUAGCUCGCAAACCAGUGACCAUUGCUGGAGGUCAGAUCGGGUUUCAGUCGCGUCCCUGGGGAAACACAAAAGUGAGGCCUGGAAUUGCGGUAAAGAUCCAUCCCGGAUUUGCAUUCCUUGAAUGGUCGGUGCAAGAACUUGCUUCUCUCAGUAUGACAAGCUGAAAUUGGUCUGGUUCCUCGUCCAAACGCGUCAUGGUUACAGUGAUACCCGACAAAAUGCUAAGCUUCGUGCAAGGCUGUGGUCUCCAUGUACCACCAUUGGUCA